GACAACUCUGCUGAUGUCCAUGCCAUUAUUUCCUCCCAUUGGGUUGACUUGUGUUUCUAUAUCUGAAGUUAAAUAAACCCUGCCUCCUGUAAGUAGAUCUUUGCCAACUAUUAGAUCAUAACCAGGAAAAAAUUACUAGUAGAGUGGCUUGACACAAGAAUGUGAGAGAAAAAAAUUAAAAAUCACUAUGGAUUUUUCCAAGCCUUGAUUGGACCAUUGCAUGUGACAUCACAUGGAGUCCAAGUGAUGUAAGCUAGAUAUCAGCCAAUAAAAGGGCGCCACCUAGGGCUGGGUUUUGUCUUUGUACUUCAAAGAAGCAGUUGGUUGGUGGGAGAGCAGUUGGAUUCAGUUGCUUCUGCUAAAUUUGGACUUUUCAAAGCCUGUUGGAUCUCGACUUACAUUGUGUGGGGCUGAGAUUGCCCUCAAGAUAAAGUGGUUGAAAUUGAGCAGAACACCAUGGGCAGCCACAUGGAAGAGGACUAUCUUGAAAAGGAUUUCAGGAUGUUAACAUCUCUAGGUUGUGGUUCCUUCGGGGAGGUGAAGCUGGCCUGCCACCUUCCCACACAUACACAAGUGGCUGUCAAGGUCCUUGA